rnacentral:rRNA from 1 species
UCCGUAGGUGAACCUGCGGAAGGAUCAUUACCGAGUGUAGGGUUCCUAGCGAGCCCAACCUCCCACCCGUGUUUACUGUACCUUAGUUGCUUCGGCGGGCCCGCCAUUCAUGGCCGCCGGGGGCUCUCAGCCCCGGGCCCGCGCCCGCCGGAGACACCACGAGCUCUGUCUGAUCUAGUGAAGUCUGAGUUGAUUGUAUCGCAAUCAGUUAAAACUUUCAACAAUGGAUCUCUUGGUUCCGGCAUCGAUGAAGAACGCAGCGAAAUGCGAUAACUAGUGUGAAUUGCAGAAUUCCGUGAAUCAUCGAGUCUUUGAACGCACAUUGCGCCCCCUGGUAUUCCGGGGGGCAUGCCUGUCCGAGCGUCAUUGCUGCCCAUCAAGCACGGCUUGUGUGUUGGGUCGUCGUCCCCUCUCCGGGGGGGACGGGCCCCAAAGGCAGCGGCGGCACCGCGUCCGAUCCUCGAGCGUAUGGGGCUUUGUCACCCGCUCUGUAGGCCCGGCCGGCGCUUGCCGAACGCAAAUCAAUCUUUUCCAGGUUGACCUCGGAUCAGGUAGGGAUACCCGCUGAACUUAAGCAUAUCAUAAGCGGAGGA